AGCUAAUACCGGAUAACAUAUUGAACCGCAUGGUUCAAUAGUGAAAGGCGGCUUUGCUGUCACUUAUAGAUGGAUCCGCGCCGUAUUAGCUAGUUGGUAAGGUAACGGCUUACCAAGGCAACGAUACGUAGCCGACCUGAGAGGGUGAUCGGCCACACUGGAACUGAGACACGGUCCAGACUCCUACGGGAGGCAGCAGUAGGGAAUCUUCCGCAAUGGGCGAAAGCCUGACGGAGCAACGCCGCGUGAGUGAUGAAGGUCUUCGGAUCGUAAAACUCUGUUAUCAGGGAAGAACAAAUGUGUAAGUAACUGUGCACAUCUUGACGGUACCUGAUCAGAAAGCCACGGCUAACUACGUGCCAGCAGCCGCGGUAAUACGUAGGUGGCAAGCGUUAUCCGGAAUUAUUUGGGCGUAAAGCGCGCGUAGGCGGUUUUUUAAGUCUGAUGUGAAAGCCCACGGCUCAACCGUGGAGGGUCAUUGGAAACUGGAAAACUUGAGUGCAGAAGAGGAAAGUGGAAUUCCAUGUGUAGCGGUGAAAUGCGCAGAGAUAUGGAGGAACACCAGUGGCGAAGGCGGACUUUCUGGUCUGUAACUGACGCUGAUGUGCGAAAGCGUGGGGAUCAAACAGGAUUAGAUACCCUGGUAGUCCACGCCGUAAACGAUGAGUGCUAAGUGUUAGGGGGUUUCCGCCCCUUAGUGCUGCAGCUAACGCAUUAAGCACUCCGCCUGGGGAGUACGACCGCAAGGUUGAAACUCAAAGGAAUUGACGGGGACCCGCACAAGCGGUGGAGCAUGUGGUUUAAUUCGAAGCAACGCGAAGAACCUUACCAAAUCUUGACAUCCUUUGACCGCUCUAGAGAUAGAGUCUUCCCCUUCGGGGGACAAAGUGACAGGUGGUGCAUGGUUGUCGUCAGCUCGUGUCGUGAGAUGUUGGGUUAAGUCCCGCAACGAGCGCAACCCUUAAGCUUAGUUUGCCAUCAUUUAAGUUGGGCACUCUAAGUUGACUGCCGGUGACAAACCGGAGGAAGGUGGGGAUGACGUCAAAUUCAUCAUUGCCCCUUAUGAUUUGGGCUACACACGUGCUACAAUGGACAAUACAAAGGGCAGCUAAACCGCGAGGUCAAGCAAAUUCCCAUAAAGUUGUUCUCAGUUCGGAUUGUAGUCUGCAACUCGACUACAUGAAGCUGGGAAUCGCUAGUAAU
rnacentral:rRNA from 1 species